AUUGGGGUUACUUAUGUUUGUACUUUUCUUUUUUUAGGUUUGACAGGGGACGUUGCUAUAGUGACAAUUUGAGUAAUAGAGGGAUCUAAGUGCUAACUUUCUAAAAUUGAAGGUGCUAAAUGACCACUUUUACAGUCUACCAGUUUACUAGUACCUAGCCAUCAGUCUCUGUCACAACAAUGGAGUCCAAAUUCCUCUCUUCAAUUGCUCCGGCGCCGUUGCCGACACUUUCUACCUUUCCGUCUUCCUCCGACGUAACCACGGACCGGACUAUUCAAAGUCCGUCUGCGAAAUAUCCGGCGCCGCCAACAUCACCUUCGACGCCGUUAUCCGCUCAAGAUAUAUGGCGAUCGCCGACACUUUCUACCUUUCCGGCUUCCUCCGACGUAGCCACGGACCGGACUAUUCAAAGUCCGGCUGCGAAAUAUCCGGCGCCGCCAACAACACCUUCGACGCCGUUAUCCGCUCAAGAUAUACGGCGAUGGAGACCGGCGGCGCAACGAAACCUGAGAAACCAAUGGUCUAAGUUGGCUGCUCUGCGGACGCAAUGGUUUUCCUUAUCCUCCACUGCUCGAUCAUAUGCCACUUCUGUAGUCAAUUCACAUCUCUCCCAAAGGUAAACUUCAACCCAUAGUGGUCUAAAUUGGCUGAUCUGCGGACGCAAUGGUUUUCCUUAUCCUCUACUGCUCGAUCAUAUGCCACUUCUGUAGUCAAUUCACAUCUCUCCCAAAG
rnacentral:lncRNA from 1 species